AUUGAACGCUGGCGGCAGGCCUAACACAUGCAAGUCGAACGAGUGGCGGACGGGUGAGUAAUGUAUGGGAAACUGCCCGAUGGAGGGGGAUAACUACUGGAAACGGUAGCUAAUACCGCACAACAUCGGAUGUGCCCAGAUGGGAUUAGCUAGUAGGUGGGGUAACGGCUCACCUAGGCGAAGAUCCCUAGCUGGUCUGAGAGGAUGACCAGCCACACUGGAACUGAACCACGGUCAAGACUCCUACGGUAGGCAGCAGUGGUGAAUAUUGCACAAUGUGCGCAAGCCUGAUGCAUCCAUGCCGCGUGUAUGAAGACGGCCUUCGGGUUGUAAAGUUCUUUCAGCGAGGAGGCGUUACUCGCAGAAGAAGCACCGGCUAACUCCGUGCCAGCAGCCGCGGUAAUAC
rnacentral:rRNA from 1 species